GUGAACAUACCUAUACGUUGCCUCGGCGGAUCAGCCCGCGCCCCGUAAAAAGGGACGGCCCGCCCGAGGACCCCUAAACUCUGUUUUUAGUGGAACUUCUGAGUAAAACAAACAAAUAAAUCAAAACUUUCAACAACGGAUCUCUUGGUUCUGGCAUCGAUGAAGAACGCAGCAAAAUGCGAUAAGUAAUGUGAAUUGCAGAAUUCAGUGAAUCAUCGAAUCUUUGAACGCACAUUGCGCCCGCCAGUAUUCUGGCGGGCAUGCCUGUUCGAGCGUCAUUUCAACCCUCAAGCUCAGCUUGGUGUUGGGACUCGCGGUAACCCGCGUUCCCCAAAUCGAUUGGCGGUCACGUCGAGCUUCCAUAGCGUAGUAAUCAUACACCUCGUUACUGGUAAUCGUCGCGGCCACGCCGUAAAACCCCAACUUCUGAAUGUUGACCUCGGAUCAGGUAGGAAUACCCGCUGAACUUAAGCAUAUCAAUAAGCGGAGGAA
rnacentral:rRNA from 1 species